rnacentral:ncRNA from 1 species
GGCGCAGCUCUUGCUUUGGCUCUACUGCAGGUAGCCAAAGGUGGCUGCCCAACAAACGACAAAGACGUCGC